CAUGCAGGCGGUUAUACAAGUAGGAUGUGAAAGCCUGGGGCUCAACCUCAGAACUGCGUUCUAAACUGUGUGACUAGAGUAUUGCAGGGGGAGACGGAAUUUCAGGUGUAGCGGUGGAAUGCGUAGAUAUCUGAAAGAACACCAAAGGCGAAGGCAGUCUCCUGGGCAAAUACUGACGCUCAUAUGCGAAAGCGUGGGUAGCAAACA
rnacentral:rRNA from 1 species